UACAGAGGGUGCAAGCGUUAAUCGGAAUGGCUGGGCGUAAAGGGCGUGUAGGCGGUUGAAUAAGUUGGUUGUGAAAUCCCUGGGCUUAACCUAGGAAUGGCAACCAAGACUGUGUAACUAGAGUACUGUAGAGGGUAGUGGAAUUCCACAAGUAGCGGUGAAAUGCGUAGAUAUGUGGAAGAACACCAGUGGCGAAGGCGGUUUUCUAGUUUAUACCUGACGCUGAUGCGCGAAAGCAAGGGGAGCAAACAGG
rnacentral:rRNA from 1 species